UGGAAACCUGUUAGCUGCCAGUUUUACGGCACUCGAUGCGUGUUGGAAUGUGAGAUCAGAUGGAGCUUUUCUUUGGAUACGACUGAGACGUAUCUACAGGAGCUGCAGUGGUUAAGCUGGGCCCCGGAGGAAUCCCACAUAGACACCGUUCACCUCUGCCAGGAUUGAACACCGCCGGUCAGCAACACCACUAGCUGGAUCAAAGAGCGCAACUGACCGCUUGCCUCCAUAUGGACAGCUUUCCCGCUGUUACCAGCUUGUCUGGUCGACACAUACAUCGGCGGACUUGAGACGCAGAGCAUAGUUGACCACGACAACGGGGUACAAGUCCGGUUGAA